AUGCAGAGAAGGUUCCUAGAUGCAAUUGCCAUAGUGCAGCGAUGGGGUAAACCAGAUUACUUCAUCACAAUGACAUGCAACCCAUACUGGGAGGAGAUAACAACAGAGCUGAUGCCCGGACAGCUACCACAGGAUCGACCAGACCUGGUUGUAAGAGUGUACAAAGCAAAGCAACGAGAUUUGAUGGACUUACUCAUCAAGAAGAAGCAUUUUGGCGAGGUUGCGGCCUAUGUUCAUGUGACCGAGUUUCAGAAAAUAGGGCUCCCACACGAACAUAUCCUUCUAAUCAUGAAGGCAGGUAGCAAGUUAAAGACUCCAGAUGACUAUGACAGAGUCAUAUAA
rnacentral:rRNA from 1 species